UACAGAGGGUGCGAGCGUUGUUCGGAAUUAUUGGGCGUAAAGGGCGCGUAGGCGGUUGAGUAAGUCACCUGUGAAAUCUCCCGGCUCAACUGGGAGCUUGCAGGCGAAACUGCUUGACUGGAGUGUGGUAGGGGAGAUCGGAAUUCCUGGUGUAGCGGUGGAAUGCGCAGAUAUCAGGAGGAACACCGGUGGCGAAGGCGGUUCUCUGGGCCUUACCUGACGCUGAGGAGCGAAAGCGUGGGGAGCGAACAGG
rnacentral:rRNA from 1 species